rnacentral:rRNA from 1 species
AGAGUUUGAUCCUGGCUCAGAUUGAACGCUGGCGGCGUGCUUAACACAUGCAAGUCGAUCGGUAACGCGGGGGCAACCCUGGCGACGAGAGGCGGACGGGUGAGGAACGCUUGGGAAUCUGCCUAUCAGCGGGGGACAACCCGGGGAAACCCGGGCUAAUACCGCAUACGCUCUACGGAGGAAAGCCGGGGACCGCAAGGCCUGGCACUGAUAGAUGAGCCCAAGUCGGAUUAGCUAGUUGGCGGGGUAACGGCCCACCAAGGCGACGAUCCGUAGCUGGUCUGAGAGGACGAUCAGCCACACCGGAACUGAGACACGGUCCGGACUCCUACGGGAGGCAGCAGUGGGGAAUAUUGGACAAUGGGCGAAAGCCUGAUCCAGCGACGCCGCGUGGGUGAAGAAGGCCUGCGGGUUGUAAAGCCCUUUCGGUAGGGACGAAAGCUCUCGACCUAACACGUCGGGAGGUUGACUUAACCUACAAAAGAAGCACCGGCUAACUCUGUGCCAGCAGCCGCGGUAAUACAGAGGGUGCGAGCGUUAAUCGGAAUUACUGGGCGUAAAGCGCACGUAGGCGGCUUGGUAUGUCGGUUGUGAAAUCCCCGGGCUCAACCUGGGAACUGCAUCUGAAACUGCCUUGCUAGAGUAUGGGAGAGGGAAGUGGAAUUUCCGGUGUAGCGGUGAAAUGCGUAGAUAUCGGAAGGAACAUCAGUGGCGAAGGCGACUUCCUGGAUCUAAUACUGACGCUCAGGUGCGAAAGCGUGGGGAGCAAACAGGAUUAGAUACUCUGGUAGUCCACGCUCUAAACGAUGACAACUGGAUGUCGGGAGGGUCUGCCUUCCGGUGUCGUAGCUAACGCGUUAAGUUGUCCGUCUGGGAAGUACGGCGCAAGGUUGAAACUCAAAGGAAUUG